UGAUCUCUGGUUCACUCUCCCUUCUCAGGGUAAUUUUUUCCAAAGUUGGAAGCUUGUACUGCUCUUGCUUGGUCGCUGGUAGCUUUGUGGUUGCAGAGGCUUCAUUUAUGUGACCCUUUAUUUGACUUCAUUUCCUCUUUCAUUUGUCUCGUGGUGUUUAUAAAAAUUGUGGCACUUCUGUUUCUUCCUUUUCCAAGUCCAUGUUUAGAUAUCCUGGUCCUGGGCUUUUCAUUUCACAUAUUUCAGCCGACAGCAUUCUGAGAUCCAGUGUGUCACCUGGGAAUUAAGAAAUGCCAAAUGAUAGCUUGGAAAUGCCAAGUUUUUGUGUUGAUAGACUUUGCCUUUUAGCACAAAAAUUCUGCCUUGAGGUACUGCUCAUUCUUUCAUAAGCCAUUGAACUCAUAAAAUUAUAUUUUUAGCUACUAUCUUUCAUCAUUGCUUUUGUAAUUUUCUAACAAGUACACAUCAGGUACCAUCUUCAGGACCAGUAGCAACAUUCUUUUCUUGGAUGUGAGAAAAGAAGCACAGAAUCAAUAUCUAAUUUUUCCCAGCAUACACAUCCAAAUCUAGUUUUGGAACAUGAAUCUAAGAUGGGAUUUUGUUUUUUCAGGGUUUUGAGGGACUAAUUUACCUUUUUAAGGACAGUUCUAACCUCUAAUCAAUUUUUAGUGAAGUUUAUAAUGUCCAACUCAUAAGCAAUAAAGUGGUGAUAUUUCUUCAGGUAAUACUAAUUAUAAGCUUGCUGUUGCAUUUACAUUUAUUUGGACAAAUUUUAACUGCUCAAAAAUAAGAAAUUAGGAUUUCAAAUACCCUAUUUUAAAAUUCUUCUGACCCUGAUCUUGACACCAGCAGUGGGCAAAAACCACCAGAAAACCAUCUCAAGAAAAACAUGCAUCUAAUGCCUGAUGGACAAACUCAUUCUGUAUCUGGAAAAGGUACUUUGUGUUCAGAUGCAACAUUUACAUACCCAUUAUCACACUUUAAAAGUAAUUGCAAAAAUCAGUAGUCAAUGGAGGUCAAUUCACAUCAUUAAUCAGGGUCAUUACAGGGAAAUGCAGCUGCCUUUGUAAUUAGGUAACUACUUUAAUAACAAGAUAAUCUCUAGAGAGAAGGGUUUGGCUAUGCUGAGAAGUAAAUGCUGCUCCUGCUAUUUUUCGAUUCAGGUGCUGCUAUCCCAGGAUCAGUCCCAACCUGUUUAAAUUCCAGCCUUUUCAUGACCUGGGAUCUCCCAAACUGUGCAGCCUCAUAGUUUAAUGCAGCAGGGGAAGGUAUUUAAAGCUGCUUGUCAGAGAGUGAGUCCCUUCCCUGACUCAGCCUGUGAUGUCAGUAGCAUCAAUGAAUCCCCUUCCUGGCUUUGAAAUGCAAAAAGUGCCCAGCACUGGGUGCUGAUAUUAUCCUGUGAAUAUUCCAGUGUUUAUGUCACCCUGCAUUUGGAGUUUUCCUGCCAGAGCUGGCUGUUAUUCCCUGCUGGCUAAGGGAGCACUUACCCUCCCAAUACUUCAGGUUUUCUAAGAGCAGCACAGGUGAUGAGCUCUUUCUUUUUAUAGCCUUGCACCAACAAAAGAAUUUGGACUCCUGGCACUAUUUUGGGAUAAAAGAAGAGGAUGUUGUCUUCUUCUUCCACAGAACUCCUGUCUGUUUAAGUCAAGGAAAAACAUAUUGCAGUGCUUGUGAUUCUCAGUGACAAAGAAACUUUCUGUAGUGUGUGUGUGUGUGUCUGUAUCAUGGAGACUAAUGAGCCAUGUAAACCCCACAUUUGUUACUAACUUCACAGUGAUUGAUCAUUUGCAACGUGUGUGGAUAAUUACUUCCCCAAAUAGAAUUCCUAAUAUCAUGACAACUCUCACAGCCCCCUCAAACUGAUUCACUUGUGUAGCUAUGGCAGCUUCUUGUUGUAUUGUGCUGCAAAGAUUGUCUGAUCAGUAAGAAAUUGUAAUUUAUUUGGAUAAUCAUACUCAAUGUACGUAACAAGGAAACUUAAUGACCUCCUAGUAGUUCUCACCGUGAAUUUUAUCCUCAGUAGCAUCAUAGCAUUAGGGUUUUUUCCCCAACAUUAGCACACAGAAGUGAAUUAUAAGACUGUCAUUACUGUGCUAGCACAGAAUCAGACAAUACCUUUUGAUGGAAGGAACCUGGGGAUGGUAUCUGAGCAAGUCUGCCAAAGCAAAACUGCCUUCAGUGUAUGAUGGGGUUGCUCAGGGCCUUGUCCUCUCACUCUGUCUCCAAGGGUGAACUCCAGGGUCUCCUUCAGCAACUUUAGUCCUCUCCAGGAGUGCUUCCCCCUAUCCAUACUGGGAAUCUGCAAUAAAUAAUUAAAUCACUUUGUUUUCUGAAUUUUCCAUAAAACAACCCAUCUCUUUUUUUUAAAUGAAAUGUAUAUAAAGCAUACAUUUCCAUUAAAGUAAUUUUUAUUCUAAGUUAAUCAGUAAAGAGAUACUGGAGGGGUGGAAUCCACAUGUCUAGAUGAGGUGAGGGGAGUUUUUUGGCACUGGGCUGCCUGGAUCAGGGGGGUGGGCUUGACACUGGGGGAGUAGUGUCCAAAGUGCUGGUGAAGAAGAUGAGGGGUAUUGGGUAUAUGUCACUAGUGGGGAGAUUCCAGCUAGACACAAGGGGGGAUUUUUUUCCCAUCAGGAACAGUCAGCCCUGUGGAAUAAUCUUUCCAGUGUGAGAAAAAAUUUAAAAGGUUUGUUAAAACUUUAACAGAAAAUACAACAGAAGACUGAAUAAAGUAUCACAGUGCUGGGAGCAGAGGAUUUUUCCCACCAUGUCCUCAGGUUUUGCCUUUUAACCCUUUAGCUCCUCCCAGAGUUCUGCCCAUAGACUCCUUUGCUGUCCAAAGUGGUGGAGUUUACUUCCCUAAAUAUUGGUUGGAGGUGAGUGCUGCCAUAAUAAGCUGACCCUCCCAAAUAUCACAAACCCAGGCCACCCCUGCUAACAAUGCAAGGGGGGUAAAACACAACUAUAGGUAUUUAAAACUUCUCUUAACAUAUAUACAUGAUAUUUGCCUUUUAAUUGUGAGAGUCAACCAUCACAUCACUCAUCUGUCACACCAGGGAAGUGGUAGAUUCCCCAGUGCUGGACACAUUUAAGGUAAAGCUGCACAGGUUUCUGGGCCAUCUUGUCUAGACUAUGCUUUGGCCAAGAAAGGCUGGACCAGAUGAUCCUUGAGGCCCCAACCUGGCAUUCCAUGAUUCUGUGAAAAUAUUUGCACUAAAACUGAAUGAGGCAUUUUGCCAUGAGGUUGAAGCAAGUCAUGUGUAAAUAGCAGACCCUGCUAUUCCAGGCUGCUUUUGUACCCACUAUGGGUUAGCAAUAGUAAACUGAUAAUGUAUUUGAGUGCCAUAAUUAAAGGCAUUUGAUUACAUCAGCUUGGAACAUUGUAUAUAAUAAUGAUUAAAAUCGUGCUGGGGCGCACUCAGCACUUUUACACUUGGAUAAUAUACAAUAUGGAAUGAAAACCUCAGCAGCGGGCUGAGGGAUUCAAUGUUGCAUGCAGGAAUACAGAGUAAGCACAAUUACAGUGUUCAGGAGAAGACAAGUAAUGCAUUUCAACACAUUUUGCUUUUGUCUUUGCUAAGUCUUCAAAAUGAAGCUUCAGAUUUCACAAGUGCUGCUUGUAACAUGUUCAAGGUUCUUUUAAUAGGUGUUUUUGAAAGCAUUGAAAGAGCAGAGUGUCCUUUCUAUUGUUUGUAUGUAUUUCACAUUCUAAAUGAGAAGCUUAGCUGUGUUCUUUUCUUCAUCUAAACAUCUUGUUUUGUUUGAGUUUCAUUCUUUUCUUUCUUGUUUUCAGAACCUGAUGUUUAUUACUUAUUUUGUGCUUUGACUCUAAUUUCCCCCUUUUGUCUUGUAAAUUACUAGUUCUUGAUCUUUUUCAUUCUUUGUUUUCCCCCAGUGUUGUUAUUGGGCUUUUUUUCUGCUUCUGUUAAGGUCAGGAUUGAAGUUCAUGACAUGAUAUUUCAUGUUUAGACUUAGAUGUUUUUUAUUUUUUAUCUGUAUCACAUCUUACAAGGUGUGAAUUCUAUAGUAUUUCACUAACAAUGUACAAAAUGGUUAACUAUUUUUCUCUACAAGGCUUUAUAAGGCUAAACUAUUUAAUUAAGAAAUGGCACAAAUUAUUAUUUUUUUUAACUCAAUUACUACUUGUGUCUUGUAUUGUGGACUUUCCUACCUAAAGUCAUGAAGAAGGUGAAGAACAACUAGCUACCACCUUCAAACCUCUAUCUUAGCUUCACACAUAUUACUAUAGCUUAACACCUUAAACUCUAAGUUUUCCACCAUGUGAUAUUACACACUUCUAAUCAAAUUCCACACUCAUAAUCCCAGUUCUGUCAUUCAAUUUUAGAAGCUUUCUCUCUGCCAUCAGGUCAAAUGCAGUGUUCUCCUGGGGGUCAGAGUCUGUCAGCACAGAAAGUCUGAAAUUCUCAGCAUCCAGGACUCCAACAUCCCAGUUUCCUUCUCCCCAGAAUAGAGAGCAUCCAUACUGGUUAGACUUAAAUUAGUUGAAAUGGACUUUGUUCUAAUUUAGAGGUCUAAGAGAGGCUUUCCUGUCUUUAGUCAGUAGGAUUGCUUUGCUUCCUUCAGUGGUGUCAUGUCUGUUAUUCUCUAUUACGUCUAAAUUCCCAAAAAAGUUAGAGAAAGGAUGGAAAAGCAAUGGGUGUUGAGUUGAACCUUAAAGAUAUUCAAAACUUGAGACAGGAAAAGGGAAUGAGAGCAUAGGGACACAGCUGUCAGAAAGCAAACAGCAGAAUGGAGCAGAACUUCAUAACAGUUUUUGUCUCUACUUUUUUUAUUCGUCACCAUUUUUUUAAAUUCUGUAAUAUUUCUGAAGCAGUGUGAAUGAUUUUUUGAUACUAAUCACCAUGCAAUUAUUUGUUGAGUUGAGGUGACAUUUGGGAAAUAUCUUGCUCAUAUUAUUGGGCUUUUGUCAGCUCAAUUCUUAUAUAUGGAACAAGAGCUAACUUUCCUCUGUAAUUUUACUAGUACACAUCAACUUCAAACUUACUGAAUGUGUAAAGUCUCAGAGGGGCCAAUCUCAAGGUUCAUUUGAGAAGUCGUAUCAAACCCAAAGAAUUUCCUUGUGCCUUUGAAGUGACAAAGUCUUGGCACCAAAGAAGUGAUAGCACAGGCUCAAGUUACUGUGCCAAACUGACCACAGAAUAAAAUUUAUGUUAUUCCUGAGUGUAAAGCAAGACUCUUGUGUUAGAGCUGAGAAAAAAAUUGAUGGAAAUUUUUAUGAAAGGAGAGGAUCUUGAGAAAAAGGAAUGAGAAAGGAGUUCCCAAAUUGUUUUUCUGUUUUAUCUGUAAGAAAACACCUGGGAACAUUAAUUUCUACCCCAUCCCAGUUUUGGAGUCAAGUACCAUGACUCUGUUCUUCUUGGUAAACAUUUUUCUCUUCACUGUCAUGUUGUGACUGGUAGUUUCCACUUGAUGCCUGGGAAUCAAAUCAUUGUUAUUUUCAAAAGAAUUCACACAUAAUUUGAAUUUCUAAGUGCCAGGUGUUGUUGUUAUUAUGUUCAAAGAACACAAUUGCAUUUAAACAAGCUGUCACUACAAAAC